GACGAACGCUGGCGGCGUGCUUAACACAUGCAAGUCGAACGGAAAGGCCCUGCUUUUGUGGGGUGCUCGAGUGGCGAACGGGUGAGUAACACGUGAGUAACCUGCCCUUGACUUUGGGAUAACUUCAGGAAACUGGGGCUAAUACCGGAUAGGAGCUCCUGCUGCAUGGCGGGGGUUGGAAAGUUUCGGCGGUUGGGGAUGGACUCGCGGCUUAUCAGCUUGUUGGUGGGGUAGUGGCUUACCAAGGCUUUGACGGGUAGCCGGCCUGAGAGGGUGACCGGCCACAUUGGGACUGAGAUACGGCCCAGACUCCUACGGGAGGCAGCAGUGGGGAAUAUUGCAUAAUGGGCGGAAGCCUGAUGCAGCAACGCCGCGUGCGGGAUGACGGCCUUCGGGUUGUAAACCGCUUUCGCCUGUGACGAAGCGUGAGUGACGGUAAUGGGUAAAGAAGCACCGGCUAACUACGUG
rnacentral:rRNA from 1 species